GAUGAACGCUGGCGGCGUGCCUAAUACAUGCAAGUCGAGCGAACCACUUCGGUGGUGAGCGGCGGACGGGUGAGUAACGCGUGGGUAACCUGCCUCAUACACAUGGAUAACAUACCGAAAGGUAUGCUAAUACAAGAUGAUAUAAGAGAUUCGCAUGGAUUUCUUAUCAAAGCUCCGGCGGUAUGAGAUGGACCCGCGUCUGAUUAGCUAGUUGGUAAGGUAACGGCUUACCAAGGCGACGAUCAGUAGCCGACCUGAGAGGGUGAUCGGCCACAUUGGAACUGAGACACGGUCCAAACUCCUACGGGAGGCAGCAGUGGGGAAUAUUGCACAAUGGGCGAAAGCCUGAUGCAGCAACGCCGCGUGAGCGAUGAAGGCCUUCGGGUCGUAAAGCUCUGUCCUCAAGGAAGAUAAUGACGGUACUUGAGGAGGAAGCCCCGGCUAACUACGUGCCAGCCGCCGCAGUAAGAC
rnacentral:rRNA from 1 species